UAUCCUAGGAAUUCCACGACCGAUUGA
rnacentral:sRNA from 1 species